rnacentral:misc_RNA from 1 species
AUCAUGUGACGAAUUUCACUAGGUGGGCUAUACAUGACUUGCGAUCGCGUAACGUAGGUACAUGCACGAGGAUGGGAUGCUGUUUCUCUGGCGAGGUGAGUAACUUAUAAUGUAUACACCCUCACUGUUAUGUUUAUUUAUUUUAAUGGUGAGAUUUCACCUGUUUUGUUUACAAACGCCGCUAUGCAUACAUGUACAAGGCAAAAGAUCGUUAUUAUCGUUCUUACCAACCUGUCCCUGUAUUCUGAAGAUAGUCGAUGAAUAAAAAAAAUUAAUCUUUUAUCGUGACCCCCUCUUCAAAAGAAAUAUAGAUAAAUAUUGUUUCACUAGACUUUGAGAUGGAAGCACUUAUUCAUGUUUCUGUAUUGAUAUACAUGUACCGGGAAUGAAAACAUGU